rnacentral:misc_RNA from 1 species
GAUGAAGAACGUAGCGAAAUGCGAUAAGUAGUGUGAAUUGCAGAAUUCAGUGAAUCAUCGAAUCUUUGAACGCACAUUGCGCCCCUUGGUAUUCCAUGGGGCAUGCCUGUUCGAGCGUCAUUUGUACCUUCAAGCUCUGCUUGGUGUUGGGUGUUUGUCCUUGCUCUAGUGGCGGGACUCGCCUUAAAGUAAUUGGCAGCCAGUGUUUUGGUUUUGAAGCGCAGCACAAGUCGCGAUUCAAGUCUAUACGCUAGUUUCCACAAGUCUUUUAUCACUUUUGACCUCGGAUCAGGUAGGGAUACCCGCUGAACUUAAGCAUAUCAAUAAGCGGAGGA